rnacentral:rRNA from 1 species
UAGGGAAUCUUCCACAAUGGACGCAAGUCUGAUGGAGCAACGCCGCGUGAGUGAAGAAGGUCUUCGGAUCGUAAAACUCUGUUGUUAGAGAAGAACGUGUGUGAGAGUGGAAAGUUCACACAGUGACGGUAACUUACCAGAAAGGGACGGCUAACUACGUGCCAA